AAUGCCAUAUCAGAAAUUAAAAACAUUGUUGGGGGAUCAGUGUUUGACCAAAAAUGGCAAAUGGACGGAAAUUUCCAAACUCAGAACAUCAGACAUUGAUCUUUAUCUGUCUGAAGUAAUCAACCCUUCAGAUAAAAGUAUUGUAGUGUAGUGUAGUGUAGGUUCAAUUCCUGGCCAGGGCCUCAACACCAAGCCCGGAUAAAAGCAUAGAUAAAUGAGAGGAUUGCAUCAGUAAGGGCUUCCAGUGUAAAAUAAAAC